CACAUCUCUUCUCCAUGCCACUUCUCAUCCCACAAAAUGAGUUUGUGUGUGAGAAAAACUCUAGCAAGAGCCCCUUGUUGUCGCCCACCAUGGAUAAGUAAGAGUUGGUUUUAAUUUGAAUUCAAAAGGGUUUGAAUUGAAAAUCUUAAUCCCUAUCCUAUUCAAACCACCCACCGGCCACCUUGUGAAGGACACUUUUUGUGUGACAAAAGG
rnacentral:lncRNA from 1 species